rnacentral:rRNA from 1 species
UGGGGAAUCAUGGUCAAUGGGCGAAAGCCUGAACCUGCGACGCCGCGUGAGUGAUGAAGGUCGUAAGAUCGUAAAACUCUUUUCAGGGAUCUUAAAGCACAGCUGUCAACAACAGCUGUGUGUGACUCUCCCUGGAAGAAGCCCCAGCCAACUACGUGCCAGCAGCUGCGGUAAUACGUAGGGGGCGAGCGUUAGUCGGAAUUACUGGGCGUAAAGGGUGCGUAGGCGGGAAUGUAAGUCGGUUGUGAAAUUCCGAAGCUCAACCUCGGAGCUGCAAUCGAAACUACAUUUCUCAGAGGAAUGGCGGAGAGAAUGGAAUUCCAUAUGUAGCGGUGAAAUGCGUAGAUAUAUGGAAGAACACCUGUGGCGAAAGCGGUUCUCUAGCCUCCGCCUGACGCUGAGGCACGAAAGCAAGGGGAGCAAACA